rnacentral:lncRNA from 1 species
GCGCCGCCCUCUCGACUUGGAAGCUGCCUCUCCGCGGGUGGGAGAAGUUCGUUUCUCAGCUCACGGUGGAAACUAGGGAACUAAGAAGAAACAGAGCUAUGAGCAGAGCAGGACACCUCUCAUGGACUCUGGGGACUACAGGCAGCGCCUGUAACAGCAAAGAAUCACAGGUUGGAAACUAUGUCCUUCUCCAGCAUGCCAGGAGCAGAGGCUCACAGCAAUGAUUGGAGAACUGCUAGAGCCUCAGAAUGGGUCACGGCAAGAAGUCAAAGGUGGGGCGGGCAAGGCGGCUCAACCAGUAGAGAAACUUGCCUCAAAGAUCGCUCAUCUAGAUACAAUCACUGGGACUUCCUUGGAAGGUGAGGACAAACACUGGAGCACUGUCCUCUGACCACCACACGCUUGCUCUGUCACACAAGCACCUCAAGAAUACAUAACUGUAGCUGGGCUUGGUGGUGCACACCUUUAAUCCCAGCACUUGGAAGGCGGAGGCAGGCAGAUCUCUUUGAGUUUGAGGCCAGCCAAAGCUACACAGUGAGAGAUCUUAUCGCAUUAAAAAAAAUUUAAAGAGUGUUAAAAAUGUUUUUAAAGAAUAUGAACUAUAUUAGUAUUAGAGGCACCAGCAGUCAUGAUAUUCUGGUGCAGAUAACCAUGGGAAUGGGCUGGGGUGAGUGCAUCACCUAGUGUUCUAGGUGAUGAAACAAGACAUGAUAUAGGAAGUGUGCACAUGUGCACACACCCACCACACCCACCGCAAGAGCUUUUGCUGCCCAGAGAAGUCCACUGGACAACACAAUAUGUGAUUAAACCAACUAAGCAGCCAUUUAAAAAUUGUAUUUCUUUUAUACUUUUAUUUUAUGUGCAUGAGUACUUUGCCUGCACAUACAUAUGUGAACCACAUCCGUGACUGGUGCCUGCCAAGGUAAAGAAUUCAUUAACGUUUUAGACAAUUUCAUAUAUGUACAUAAUAAAAUUUGAUCACUCUCGCCAUUACUGUCUCGCACCUCUCCCCUACUUCCACUGAGCCUCCUCCGAGCGUGUCACCCUCAGCAAGCAACUUUUUGUUUAAAUAAAGGAAUUGAGGCUAUUGCCUCAAACAGAAACAACUGGGAAUGUUUGUUUUCCAUGACAAGAGUCAAGCUUGCAAGUGGAAAUGGAAUUUUGGGGAAGCUCGUGCUGCCAUGCACUUAGAUUCAAGCAGCAGGUAGAGACAUAAAGAGAUGUGUCCUUUCAAAAUUACAUAAUGAGCUGUGUCAACAUCUAGAUCCAAAGGAGGUCCUGCAGACAAUGAGUUAUGCUACAAGUUAAACAGACCAAAGAUCCCAACGUGUCAAGAAGGCUCAAGUAACAGAGCACAGGAAGUUCAUGAUAUCAGGGUCCCUCUGAUUUUAAAGAAACGGGGUUGGGGUGUAGCUGAACUGGUGGGGUGCUUGUCUAGCAUGCCCAAGGCCCAAAGGCAAUCUCCAACAGCGGAUAAACCAGGUAUGGCAGCACCAGCCUGUAAUACCAGCACACAGGACACCUAAGCAGGGGGAUCAGAAAUACAAGUCGCUCUCUGUUACAGAUCAGAUUCAGGAUCAGCUCAGAGACAGGAGACCCGGCCUC